CUACCCUGCAGCCGCCGGCGGACCAUCAAACUCUGAUUAUAUAGAUAUCUGAGCGUACUUUUAAAUAAGUCAAAACUUUCAACAACGGAUCUCUUGGUUCUGGCAUCGAUGAAGAACGCAGCGAAAUGCGAUAAGUAAUGUGAAUUGCAGAAUUCAGUGAAUCAUCGAAUCUUUGAACGCACAUUGCGCCCAUUAGUACUCUAGUGGGCAUGCCUGUUCGAGCGUCAUUACGACCCUUAAGCCUAGCUUAGUAUUGGGAACCUACGUGCGGCAGCUACCCUGUAGCUACCCUGUAGCUCCUUAAAGACAACGGCGGAGACGUGGAGUCCUCUGAGCUUAGUAACUUUUCUAUCUUCUCAAAGCGCCCCGCCCC
rnacentral:rRNA from 1 species